rnacentral:rRNA from 1 species
GAUGAACGCUGGCGGCGUGCCUAAUACAUGCAAGUCGAGCGCACGGACGAGAAGCUUCCUUCUCUGAUGUUUGCGGCGGACGUGUGAGUAACACGUGUAUAACCUACCUAUAAGACUGCUAUAACUUCGGGAAACCGGAUCUAAUACCGUAUAAUAUUUUGAACCGUAUGGUUCAAAAGUGAAAUACGGUCUUGCUGUUACUUAUAGAUGGUUCCGCGCUUCAUUAGAUAGUUGGUAGGGUAACGGCUUACCAAGGCAACGAUGCAUAGCCGACCUGAGAGGGUGAUCGGCAAAACUGGAACGGAGCAACGGUCAAAAGUCCUCGGGGAGGAAGCAGUGGGGAACAUCGCGAAAUGGGCGAAAGCCUGACGGAGAAACGCCGCGGGAGUAAUGAAGGUCUCCGGACCGUAAAACUCUGUUAUUAGGGAAGAACAUAUGUGUAAGUAAAUGUGCACAUCUUGACGGUACCUAAUCAGAAAGGCACGGCUAACUACGUG